rnacentral:rRNA from 1 species
UGAUCCUGGCUCAGGAUGAACGCUAGCGGCAGGCUUAACACAUGCAAGUCGAGGGGUAGAAGUCUUCGGACUUUGAGACCGGCGCACGGGUGCGUAACGCGUAUGCAAUCUGCCUUUCACAGAGGGAUAGCCCAGAGAAAUUUGGAUUAAUACCUCAUAGUAUAACACAACCGCAUGGUUGAGUUAUUAAAGUCACAACGGUGAAAGAUGAGCAUGCGUCCCAUUAGCUAGUUGGUAAGGUAACGGCUUACCAAGGCAACGAUGGGUAGGGGUCCUGAGAGGGAGAUCCCCCACACUGGUACUGAGACACGGACCAGACUCCUACGGGAGGCAGCAGUGAGGAAUAUUGGACAAUGGGCGCAAGCCUGAUCCAGCCAUGCCGCGUGCAGGAUGACGGUCCUAUGGAUUGUAAACUGCUUUUGCACAGGAAGAAACAGCUCUACGUGUAGAGUCUUGACGGUACUGUGAGAAUAAG